UACGGAGGGUGCUAGCGUUGUUCGGAAUUACUGGGCGUAAAGAGCUCGUAGGUGGUUUGUCGCGUUGUCCGUGAAAACUCACAACUCAAUUGUGGGCGUGCGGGCGAUACGGGCAGACUGGAGUACUGCAGGGGAGACUGGAAUUCCUGGUGUAGCGGUGGAAUGCGCAGAUAUCAGGAGGAACACCGGUGGCGAAGGCGGGUCUCUGGGCAGUAACUGACGCUGAGGAGCGAAAGCGUGGGGAGCGAACAGG
rnacentral:rRNA from 1 species